rnacentral:lncRNA from 1 species
CACCAGGACUUCGUGUGAAUACCCGUAGAGAUAGGAUGCGUGUGCGGUUGUCAAGCAUCUUGAAGAACCAUCUUUAAUGGAUUUUAGAUGCGGUGAUUUGCUAUCCGCACUCCAGUAUGAAGUUUUAUAUUCAAUCAAUAUUUAGAUAUGAUCUAAAUAUAGAUUAGAUAUAUCAUGUACUUGUUGAAUUUUAGAUUUCAGAUGUACAUACAUACAUAUUAGUUCAUGUCAUAGAUCCUGU